GAUCUGUGCACUCCUAAUUCUGGUCAACUAUUCAUCCUUUCAAUUACCUGAAAAAAAGAAAUUCCGUGUCUGCUUUCAAAUGGUGCUGAAGCUAUCCAUAGAAAAUCUAGUUAUCAGAAGACACCCAACCUUGACAAGGUCAGGGAUGACUAUGUUGACAUAAUCUUUCACUUUCUCAACUAUGAUAAUCACAAGAAGCUCUGGCAUUGUCUUUUAAAGAUGUGUCGAUGAAGACAUUGUCAUCAUUGUGAAUUACUUCAAGCAUCAAGGAAGUCCUUCCACGUAUUCUUUCUGGCAGAGAGCAGGUUCUUACCUCUGGAACUAAAAGCAGGUGCAAUGGAUUGAAUAAUUCAUAGAUAGACAGUCUCACUCAGCCUCACAUACACCGGCAGUUCUGCAGUGGGGGCGAUUUUGCCCUCCAGGAGACAUUUGGUGGCAUAUGAUCAAAAUUUUAUUGUCACACUGCGGAGUGUCCCUGGCAUCUAGGAGGUAGCAUCUGAGGAUGCUACUGACCAGCCUGCAGUGCACAGGAUGGUCCCUGCAACAGCUGAUGCAGCCCAGGAUGUCCGAGUGUUGAGGCUGAGAGCCCACGGUUAACCAUCAGUCAGAGGCUGGAGGUAUCUCGGCAGAACAUUCACACCAGACGUCUCCUUCACAGCCAUGCCCAAGCACGUCUACUGCUAUGACAGCAAAGUGACAGUGAAACCCGCCUCUGCCUUCCCAUCCUUUUCAGGUAUCAAGUCAGCAAAGUGAGCUUAGAAAUUAAGAACUGCAAAUAUUCUUACAGUUUAUUAAGCUUUUAUCCUUUUACUUGCGUAUGAGGAGAACUCAAAUAUUCAAAGUUAAUCAGCAACUUAGCAGUGAAGUCAGAACAGAAAUUCCUGUGUCUAGAACCCAAAUUCCUUGAGUAUGAAAUUUACAAUGAACUGGCAGAGAGGGAAGCCUGGCAAACCAGCCGUCUGGAGGGACCUGUUUGCCUGGGUGACAUUUGCAGGCCACACUGUCCUGGUUUCUGGAUUCAGAAGGUUUGGUGUCUGUCUACAGGGACACACAGCACUCUGGUGCUGGCGUGGAGCCUGAACGCGAGCGGAUUCAAGACACCAAGAGUUAGAGGCGACCCGUCAGUGUCUCUCCC
rnacentral:lncRNA from 1 species